rnacentral:tRNA from 2 species
CGGGGUAUAGCGCAGUCUGGUAGCGCACUACACUGGGGGUGUAGUGGUCGCAGGUUCAAAUCCUGCUACUCCGACCA